rnacentral:sRNA from 1 species
AGUUAGCCCUGAUGGUAGUGGCAUCCUUUUAUGCUGAUCCCGACAUUUCGGGAUGGCAUGAAAGAUAGAACGGACAGCGGGAGGAGUG